rnacentral:rRNA from 1 species
CAGUCGUACCGGCGGAUAAUCAGCCUUUCGGGUGCGAUUCUGUGGGGCGUGAGGAGCUUAACCGCCUUCAUGUUUUGCAUAUUCGUGCACAUUUGGUGUACUUGUCCGUGUGGUGGGUUAACAUCAAUUUCGGUCGUCAUAAAAUGACUGGAGGAAUGGUGGCACCUCCGGGUGUGUUAUA